UCAAGUAACGAGGUUUAUACUGAGAGGUCUAUGGAGAUUGAAAAGAUCCUGAAGGAGCUCAGCUAAUACUUGGUUGUGGUCAUUACGGAGAUGCUUACUCUAAUUUAUAUAUCUAUCCUAUCGCAUCAUAUAUCCUACUAGUUAAAACUCAUUCAUCCUUGAUUGUGUGAUGCCCUUUUUGAAAGGUAUACUAUACACUGUCGCUAAAAAGUUUUUUUUAUUAUUUUUAAAAUCACUCUCAAAUUAUGAGGAUCUAUAAUGUUUUCACACUUCUCCUCCAGCAUGACUCAAACUCAGGAUCAAACGGUCGUAGGUUGAGGUGCUUUACCAACUGAGCAAGCCUCACUAAAAAGUUAAAAAACUCAUACUGAUGUGUUUGUUGUUGAUCAGUGU
rnacentral:lncRNA from 1 species